UCCCUUAUGAAUAGUUUGGAGUAGUGGGGAGCUGGGUGGGGUGGAUGGGGUGUGCAAUCAUUGCCCAGGCGGAUAAAAGCAGGGCACAUAUCUUAACUUUCCAUACGAGCCAUAUAGUGAGAAUGUCGAACACAGUCUCUCUGGUUUUUGUCCUGGUGAUUUUAACCACGAUUUUGUGCAACAACUCAGUCUGUUGCAGAGGAUCUUGGAAAGGACGGAUCAGAUGUGGUUGUAAAAUUCAUCCUGAAAAAGGUCUACAAUGCUCAAAGAGACACAAUUUAAAAACUAUGGAUGACAUGAUGCAAUGUAUUUGCAGGAACCCCCGCACUUACUUAACUGAUAGCUCCAAGAUGCUGUUUCGGAAGAUGUGCACGCCAAACGUAUCUACUCCUUUGUGACUAGAUGGAAGUUUGAAGUUAUCAGUAGAAAUUAUAACCUAUGUACCCCACAUGCAUGUUUAAAUCUUUACAAAGAAAAAUGCUUAAAAAAGACUAUCUUUACAAUAUCGCUGAUUUAAAAGUUAAGUGUUGUAUUCAUACAAGAUGAAUUUUAAAUCCAUAUAAUAAAACUACGCUAA